UACGGAAGGUCCAGGCGUUAUCCGGAUUUAUUGGGUUUAAAGGGAGUGUAGGCGGUCUGUUAAGCGUGUUGUGAAAUUUAGGUGCUCAACAUCUACCUUGCAGCGCGAACUGGCGGACUUGAGUGCACGCAACGUAUGCGGAAUUCAUGGUGUAGCGGUGAAAUGCUUAGAUAUCAUGACGAACUCCGAUUGCGAAGGCAGCGUACGGGAGUGUUACUGACGCUUAAGCUCGAAGGUGCGGGUAUCGAACAGG
rnacentral:rRNA from 2 species